UACGGGAGGUCCGGGCGUUAUCCGGAUUUAUUGGGUUUAAAGGGAGCGUAGGCCGGAGAUUAAGCGUGUUGUGAAAUGUAGACGCUCAACGUCUGCACUGCAGCGCGAACUAGUUUCCUUGAGUACGCACAAAGUGGGCGGAAUUCGUGGUGUAGCGGUGAAAUGCUUAGAUAUCACGAAGAACUCCGAUUGCGAAGGCAGCUCACUGGAGCGCAACUGACGCUGAAGCUCGAAAGUGCGGGUAUCGAACAGG
rnacentral:rRNA from 1 species